AGCGAACGCUGGCGGCAGGCCUAACACAUGCAAGUCGAACGAACUCUUCGGAGUUAGUGGCGGACGGGUGAGUAACACGUGGGAACGUGCCUUUAGGUUCGGAAUAACUCAGGGAAACUUGUGCUAAUACCGAAUGUGCCCUUCGGGGGAAAGAUUUAUCGCCUUUAGAGCGGCCCGCGUCUGAUUAGCUAGUUGGUGAGGUAAAGGCUCACCAAGGCGACGAUCAGUAGCUGGUCUGAGAGGAUGAUCAGCCACAUUGGGACUGAGACACGGCCAAACUCCUACGGGAGGCAGCAGUGGGGAAUCUUGCGCAAUGGGCGAAAGCCUGACGCAGCCAUGCCGCGUGAAUGAUGAAGGUCUUAGGAUUGUAAAAUUCUUUCACCGGGGACGAUAAUGACGGUACCCGGAGAAGAAGCCCCGGCUAACUUCGUG
rnacentral:rRNA from 1 species